UGUCACGGUGUGUGGUAUCGCGCUCUUCUUCCCGUUUCCCAGCAGAUCACAGGGCCUUGCAGCAACAGGGUGUUGAGAUCCGCGCUCUCUCGCCCGGUGUGGCUCCCUCCUGCACCGGGCACGAGGUCCAGUGGGAACAGCACAAGCAUUUUUAUCUGCUUGCUUGGGCUUUUUACAGUCCCUUUGUACACGUGGGCCUUCCUGUGCCCAAAGCCAGAAGAAAGGGGGCUUGCUGCUCCAUACCCAGAAGAAAGGGGUUGUCCUGGGCCAGAAACCAGAACGAAGGGACUGGCUGGACUAAAACACAGAAGGAACGUGGCGGGCUGGGCAGACAGCCAGAAGGAACGGGGCUUCCUGGGGCAGAAUGGAGCAGGAAAGCAGCCUGCUGGGCAGCAAAUCCGUCAGGGAGAUUCUUGCUGUGCAGAAGCUGAGAAGGAAGGGGGCUCACCAGGAAGAAACCCCGAUGGCAGAGGGCUUGCUCAGCUCAAAGCCAGAAAGAAGUGGACUUGCUCUACUGAAACAGUGAAGAAGAGAGGCUGGAAAGGUCAAACGCCAGAAGGAAUGAGGAUUGCUGGGCCCAAAGCCGGAAGGAAAGGUCCUUGCUGGGCUGGAAUGAAUAGAGAAGGGUUUUGCUGCUCCUGAGCCCAGAAGGAAGAGGGCUUGUAAGACCAUACCCAGAAGAAAGGGGGAGUGCUGGGCAACAAACCAGAAGGAAGGGGGCUUGCUGGACUCAAACCCAGAAGGAAGGGGCUUGCUGGUCCAUACCCAGAAAGAAGUGGGUGUGCUGCGCCACAAAGCAACAAGAAGAACCAGCAGUGGCAGCAACGAUGUCGAGACAACGACUUUCACAGGCAUGAGAAGUAAUGGAGAUGUGCACAGUUCUUCCAGCCGCUGUGCAAAGAGCGAAUCCAAACCAGCGCUCUUCUUUACAAGUCCCUUCAUGCUGUGAGGUUUCUGCCAACGGUGGGUGUGCUUACAACAGAGACAUGAGUUUUCUUUCAUUGUUAUUUUGUUCCAGGCGUGUACCUGGACAGAGCCCAGCAGUUCCAUGAUACCAUUGUGUCCGUGAUGCUUUCCUAGUGAAGGGAGUUUCACCUGGGUGAUACCUCCUUGUACAGCCAAAUGCACUGAAACCAAAACGAACCUUGCUGUUAUUCAUUUCAUGUGGUCAUUUAAGUGGCCAUUUUAAUACAAUGUAUUUUAAUCAGAGAGAUGCCAGUCAG